UCGGUUUGCAGAGUAAUUUGACAGAAGGUUUGGACACCAUGCCCACUGUAAUUUCCACUCAGGAGCUCAGCCGUGACCUUUCAGGUUCACAGGACACAGACAGCAGCUUGUCUGGAAAGGAGAGGCUUAUUCAGCACAAUGUGAUCCAGCCUGACUUCCUGAAGCACACGUAUAAAGGAAAAAUUGAUGUCCAGGUUGUGUUCCAGAGACCUUUCUAACACAGAGAGAAUUUUCAUAUAUAGUUAUAUGCAGACAUCUCUCCAUGUAGACAUGGCUGAUAGAGCUGGGAUUUACAGGUGAGCAUGAGGAAGGGCCUCUGCCA
rnacentral:lncRNA from 1 species